UUACGGCCAUAUCACGUUGAAACACCGAUUCCCAUACGAUCACCAGUUAAGCAACGUAGAUUCUGGGCAUUACCUAGAUGGGUGACCGCUUGGGAAU